rnacentral:rRNA from 1 species
CACGUAGGGGCCAAGCGUUGUCCGGAUUUAUUGGGCGUAAAGAGCUCGUAGGCGGUUGGGUAAGUCGGAUGUGAAAUCCCCAGGCUUAACCUGGGAACUGCAUCCGAUACUGGAUGGCUUGAAUUCGGGAGAGGGAUGCAGAAUUCCAGGUGUAGCGGUGAAAUGCGCAGAUAUCAGGAGGAACACCGGUGGCGAAGGCGGGUCUCUGGGCCGAUACUGACGCUGGAGGAGCGAAAGCGUGGGGAGCAAACAGG